GCGCCGCUAGCUCAGCUGGAUAGAGCGUCUGACUACGGAUCAGAAGGUCGGGGAUUCGAAUUCCUCGCGGCGCGCCA
rnacentral:tRNA from 2 species